rnacentral:rRNA from 1 species
UACGAAGGGUGCAAGCGUUACUCGGAAUUACUGGGCGUAAAGCGUGCGUAGGUGGUUUGUUAAGUCUGAUGUGAAAGCCCUGGGCUCAACCUGGGAAUUGCAUUGGAUACUGGCAGGCUAGAGUGCGGUAGAGGGUAGUGGAAUUCCCGGUGUAGCAGUGAAAUGCGUAGAGAUCGGGAGGAACACCAGUGGCGAAGGCGACUACCUGGACCAGCACUGACACUGAGGCACGAAAGCGUGGGGAGCAAACGGG